GGGCUCCUGGCUGCGGGUCGAGGGCGACCGCGCCGUCGUCGGGGGCGAACGGGACGCCCGGCUGUUCCGCCGCGGGUCGGCUCCGCGGGAGAUCGC
rnacentral:tRNA from 1 species